rnacentral:rRNA from 1 species
AGCGAACGCUGGCGGCAGGCCUAACACAUGCAAGUCGAACGAACCUUUCGGGGUUAGUGGCGGACGGGUGAGUAACACGUGGGAACGUGCCUUUAGGUUCGGAAUAACUCAGGGAAACUUGUGCUAAUACCGAAUGUGCCCUUCGGGGGAAAGAUUUAUCGCCUUUAGAGCGGCCCGCGGCUGGUUAGCUAGUUGGUUGGGGUAAUGGCUCACCAAGGCGACGAUCAGUAGCUGGUCUGAGCGGAUGAUCAGCCACAUUGGGACUGAGACACGGCCCAAACUGCUACGGGAGGCAGAAGUGGGGAAGAUUGGACGAUGGGCGCAGGCCUGAUCCAGCCAUACCGCGUGGGUGAAGAAGGCUUUCGGGUUGUAAAGCCCUUUUGUUGGGAAAGAAAAGCAGCAGGUUAAUACCCCGCUGUUCUGACGGUACCCAAAGAAUAAGCACCGGCUAACUUCGUG